AGAGUUAAAUAGUACGUGAAAUUGUUGAAAGGGAAACGAUUGAAGUCAGUCAUGCCGGCGGGAAUCAACUUAGGGGAAACUUUAAGUGCACUUCACGUUUGGCAGGUUAGCGUCGAUUUUGGAUGUCAUAAAAUGAUUGGGGGAAGGUAGCUCCUUCGGGAGUGUUAUAGCCCUUGAUAGAUAUGAUGUUUGAGAUCGAGGAUUGCAACGGAUACCCUUUGGGCUAGCCGCCUGAUCUCUAACUGGUGUUGGGUUACGGACAGCAUGCUGACCGUGAUCUAAUUAUUGGUUAAAAGGUUAGAGCGAGUGUAAAUUCGUUAAGGACGCUGACGUAAUGGCUUUAAACGA
rnacentral:misc_RNA from 1 species